AACGAACGCUGGCGGCAGGCUUAACACAUGCAAGUCGAACGCCCCGCAAGGGGAGUGGCAGACGGGUGAGUAACGCGUGGGAAUCUACCUAGUUCUACGGAACAACUGAGGGAAACUUCAGCUAAUACCGUAUACGCCCUACGGGGGAAAGAUUUAUCGGAAUUAGAUGAGCCCGCGUUGGAUUAGCUAGUUGGUGGGGUAAUGGCCUACCAAGGCGACGAUCCAUAGCUGGUCUGAGAGGAUGACCAGCCACACUGGGACUGAGACACGGCCCAGACUCCUACGGGAGGCAGCAGUGGGGAAUAUUGGACAAUGGGCGCAAGCCUGAUCCAGCCAUGCCGCGUGAGUGAUGAAGGCCUUAGGGUUGUAAAGCUCUUUCAGUGGGGAAGAUAAUGACGGUACCCACAGAAGAAGCCCCGGCUAACUUCGUGCCAGCCGCCGCCGUAA
rnacentral:rRNA from 1 species